rnacentral:rRNA from 1 species
UACGAAGGGGGGCUAGCGUUGCUCGGAAUUACUGGGCGUAAAGGGCGCGUAGGCGGACAUUUUAAGUUAGAGGUGAAAGCCCAGGGCUCAACCCUGGAAUAGCCUUUAAUACUGGAUGUCUUGAGUUCGGGAGAGGUGAGUGGAACUCCGAGUGUAGAGGUGAAAUUCGUAGAUAUUCGGAAGAACACCAGUGGCGAAGGCGACUCACUGGCCCGAUACUGACGCUGAGGCGCGAAAAGCGUGGGGGAGCAAACAGG